CCUACGGGUGGCAGCAGUGGGGGAUAUUGCACAAUGGGGGGAACCCUGAUGCAGCGACGCCGCGUGGGUGAAGGAGUGCUUCGGCAUGUAAAGCCCUAUCGGCAGGGAAGAAGCAAGACGGUACCUGACUAAGAAGCCCCGGCUAACUACGUGCCAGCAGCCGCGGUAAUACGUAGGGGGCGAGCGUUAUCCGGAUUUAUUGGGUUUAAAGGGUGCGUAGGCGGGUUAUCAAGUCAGCGGUAAAAUCGUGGAGCUCAACUCCAUCCAGCCGUUGAAACUGAUGAUCUUGAGUGGGCGAGAAGUAUGCGGAAUGCGUGGUGUAGCGGUGAAAUGCAUAGAUAUCACGCAGAACUCCGAUUGCGAAGGCAGCAUACCGGCGCCCGACUGACGCUGGAGCACGAAAGCGUGGGUAUCGAACAGGAUUAGAUACCCCUGUAGUC
rnacentral:rRNA from 1 species